UAAUCUCCCCAUNUUAGGGUUAGCCUAUUA
rnacentral:piRNA from 1 species